rnacentral:lncRNA from 10 species
UUUCGUUCCAUCUUUUCCAAUAUGCAGGGUAUUUAUCAACUACUUUUUAGAAUGCAAUAUGAAGGAAAAUGGCAGGAGGAGACAUAUCUUAAUACAAAAAUUGCUUGUUACAAUAAUUUCAUUUCUGAAGAUGCAUAAUUAAAUGGAAAUCCACAAAGGAUAUGGUGGCUUAGCUAUACUAAUCCUCAUACCGCACAGAUAAGCAAUUCAUCCUCAGCAUGACGAAAAGACAGACGUUCAUUAAAAGAGACAACAGACAUAAUGAAUCCAACUUAAAAGCAAGAAAGCAUCCUUUCAAAAGCGUUUUUCUAAAUGUAGCAAUCUGGCUCCAGAGUGUUACAGUAAUUUCAAGAUCAUGACCACUCAGUUACUUUGAUUUCUUUCUUUAUUUCCAUGAACUUCUAAGAAAUUUUUUUCGAAAGGGAAAGACUGAGGUUUAUAAACAGUACUUCAGAUGUCAUUUUAAAUGGCAGUUCAGCUCACUGUGUAAAUGCUGUCUGCCCUUGGAAUGUUGCAGCGUCAUGUUCAUCCAAGUUUAUUUAACUAAAGGAAUACUACGGGAUCAACCUACUACUUCAUGAUCGCUGUCUAAGUAAGAAAUGUCUCGAUAUAAAAAGUAUGGAAAUUUAUAAAUGAAAAUGAAAAUUUAUAAAUGAAAAUGUGUUAUUUUGGGCAGAGAAGCUUUAAGAAGGGAAGAAGAGGCAAAAAGAGCAGGAAGAAAGUAGCAGGAGAGGGGAUAAUUAAAAGAGGGAAAUAAAAGAAAGAUUUCCACAUGAAAGUUUUCCUCCAAAAUCAAGAGCCAGUGCCGUUGGCAGGCUUGGGAGAUAUUUCAGGUAAUACUGUAAUUUUUCUAUAGCUGCUUCCUGCUAAAAAAAGUUUAAAUUUAAAUUUAAAAAAUCAGAUAAUACUAUAAUUGCAAGCAAAGUGCAAUAACUAGAAUGCAUAGGAUCAAUCACUUUUUGCCCCUCCCAGAUACCUUGAAGGGGUCAGCUAACCCCUCAAUUUCUAUUCUCAAAUAUGCAGCUUACUCUAGUAAAGUUUCCUGUUGGCAACAGCAUAAUUCAUUUGAAGUCUGGUUUUUAAAACAUUUCUUUCAUUAGACUUUCUUCUCAAUAAAGGUGAGGUGAAUUCAAGGUGUAUGUGCUGGGUGGGGUGCAUGAGCAACCCCCCCCCAGGAGUCUCCUGAGACCCUCUGAAGCAAGGACGCAAACCUUACCUGAGUGACACAGACAGGCAUGAAAGGGAUGUAACACAAGUUUGCUGGCCAGCAAUGGAAUGGAGACAGAAGGAAAGAUGUCACAGUCGCAACCAAAACAUACACACACACACACCAGCCAGCAACUCUUCUCCUCAUUCUUUCCAGGGUCAUUUGUCCAGCAAGACUUCAGAGAAGGUUACCUGAAUCUCCUAUAAUGAAAUAAGAGAAGUAAAAAAAAAAAAAAAAGAAAAGAAAAAGAAAAGAAACUCCUUGUUAAAAUUACUUGGCAUUAUUGUUCUCCAUUAUUUAAAUGGGUUUCUCAGCUCCAAGUUCAAAAAAAAAGCCAGUUCUAGCCUCAGAGGGACCCCGUACUGUUGGCUGAGCAAAACCAUUCAAACCCCUCUUUGCUUUUAUUUAUGCAGAUGGCAAGGAUAUUGCUGUUGGCUCAUAGGAUGUGAACAGUGGUGUUGAGAUUACCCUCAUUUGGCUGAUGAUGUCAUUGAGGCCCAGAGAAGGUAGGACACCUGGCAGGGCCUGGCUUUGGGGCUAACUUCUGCAGCUCUUUUGAUUGCCCCCACCUUACAGUUUUUGGCACAGAGCACUGUGUAGCUGGCACUUCUCUACUGGCCCGAAUGAGAAAACUUCCUCAGAGCAAAAUGUCAAGCACCAAAUAAGAUUCAUGUUUACUGUGAAGUGAUUGCUGCUUUUUAAAUGCUUAUCAGAAGCCGAAGGACAAACUCAGUAGGUUGAUUCAUGCUGAGCUCGACUACCUCCGUGAGAAAUGACUCUCCUGUAGGGCUCGAUGACCUUCAUGUCAAUGCGCUGCUCUUGUUCUCCAAUGACC